GUGUCAGCCGCCGCGGUAAUACGGAGGGGGCGAGCGUUGUUCGGAAUUACUGGGCGUAAAGGGCGCGUAGGCGGCCAUGUCAGUUGGGAGUGAAAGCCCCGGGCUCAACCUGGGAACUGCUCUCAAUACUGCGUGGCUUGAGAACGGGAGAGGGUAGUGGAAUUCCCAGUGUAGAGGUGAAAUUCGUAGAUAUUGGGAAGAACACCAGUGGCGAAGGCGGCUGCCUGGCCCGUUUCUGACGCUGAGGCGCGAAAGCGUGGGGAGCAAACAGGAUUAGAUACCCUGGUAGUCCACGCCGUAAACGAUGAGUGCUAGACGUCGGGGGACGUGUCCUUCGGUGUCGCCGCUAACGCAUUAAGCACUCCGCCUGGGGAGUACGGCCGCAAGGUUAAAACUUAAAGGAAUUGACGGGG
rnacentral:rRNA from 1 species